rnacentral:rRNA from 1 species
UACGGAGGAUGCGAGCGUUAUCCGGAUUUAUUGGGUUUAAAGGGUGCGUAGGCGGAUCGAUCAGUCAGUGGUGAAAUCUCCCGGCUCAACCGGGACACUGCCAUUGAAACUGUCGAUCUAGAGUGUACAAGAGGUAAGCGGAAUGCGUGGUGUAGCGGUGAAAUGCAUAGAUAUCACGCAGAACCCCGAUUGCGAAGGCAGCUUACUGGUGUACAACUGACGCUGAGGCACGAAAGCGUGGGUAUCAAACAGG